rnacentral:rRNA from 1 species
AUGGCAAUCGCCAAGAGCAAUACAACCCGGUCAAUGAUCGUGUGCCGGAUGGUUGUUGCGUUGGUGGGGCUUGCUAUGAUGUUUACCUUGCCAUCUUGUCAUGCAAGCACUGAAUCUGCUGGUCAUCCGACGUUGUGCGAGAGUCUAGAUCCAUGUGUUAACGAUUACACCGGAUGCAAAGGUAUAUGCGUUGGCAUGGGCAUGAAACACUUCACUUCCUUUUGCAAGGAGUCAAAUCCUGCUCCGCUGUGUUGCUGCAUAGAGAUAUAA